ACCAGGUUAUUACACGUGUAAUAACAGUGUUUCAAACUGAGAGACUGUUCAGAGACAGGUUGAUAGGAGCCUCUCCUCCAAACUGUGCUGCUGAUCUUUUAACCUCCACCAGAGGGCGUCAUCAUCCAGAAGGGAUGCACUUUGUGAGCACUGAGUUGAACCUCUCUCCAAUAAUAAGAAGUGCUGCUGAGGACACAGGUACUGUCACAGUGAACACUGAGCUCCAGCUCGUUCCUCCUGUUGAUUGAAUCCUUGUUGGAGAGAUGAAACGUUGGCUGUGGAUCAUUCUGGCUGCUCUUUUCUUUGAGUGUAAAGGAGAAGAGAGAGCGACCCAGCCAUCAGGAGAGGUCGUUGCUACUGAAGGAGACAACGUCACACUUGAAUGUUCAUUUGAGACCUCUUAUGGGAGUUCAACUUUGUUCUGGUACAAACAAGAAGUUGGUGAUUUCCCAAAGUACAUGCUGAGAUGUUUCUCAGAAAACACAGAUUUUGCUCCUGGGACCGACAAAGACAGAUUUAAUGCUGCAAUCAAGGAGAAAUCAGUUCCUCUGAAGAUCCAGAAGCUUCAGCUGACUGACUCUGCUGUGUACUACUGUGCUCUGAGGCCCACAGUGACAGGAAACACCAACACUCUGUACAAAAACCUUUGGAGCAAACACAACACAAUACUCCACAACAUCCACUAGAGGGAGACAUCAUCAAGCAGGUGUUGCUCUUCCUCUGUGUUCAACCAUCCUGACAAUAAAAAGGCUGCUGUGAAGAGAACAGUGGUUCUCAAAGUGGGGUCCUGGGACCCCUGGGGGUCCUUGAACCAUAGC